rnacentral:rRNA from 1 species
UACGGAGGGGGCAAGCGUUGUUCGGAAUUACUGGGCGUAAAGGGCGCGUAGGCGGCUGCCUAAGUCAGACGUGAAAUCCCUCGGCUCAACCGGGGAACUGCGUCUGAUACUGGGUGGCUUGAAUUCGGGAGAGGGAUGCGGAAUUCCAGGUGUAGCGGUGAAAUGCGUAGAUAUCUGGAGGAACACCGGUGGCGAAGGCGGCAUCCUGGACCGAGAUUGACGCUGAGGCGCGAAAGCCAGGGGAGCAAACGGG